rnacentral:sRNA from 1 species
GCUGGGCACAGUCACUUACAUACCUGUAAUCCUAAUUACUCUGGUGGCUGAGACAGGAGGAUCAUUUGAGCCCAGAAGUUUAAGGACACUCUGGGCAACCUAGGUAAAACCUGUUUCUA